rnacentral:pre_miRNA from 1 species
AUCACCUGGAGAUUUGUUAAAAUGCAGAUUCUAACUCAGCUAAGUCUGGGUGGGGCUGAGAGUCUGCAUUUCUAACAAGCUCCCGGGUGAUGCUGA